AGAGUUUGAUCAUGGCUCAGGAUGAACGCUAGCUACAGGCUUAACACAUGCAAGUCGAGGGGAACGACAUCGAAAGCUUGCUUUUGAUGGGCGUCGACCGGCGCACGGGUGAGUAACGCGUAUCCAACCUGCUCACCACUUGGGGAUAACCUUGCGAAAGUAAGACUAAUACCCAAUGACGUCUCUAGAAGACAUCUGAAAGGGAUUAAAGAUUUAUCGGUGAUGGAUGGGGAUGCGUCUGAUUAGCUUGUUGGCGGGGUAACGCCGCAAGGCUACGAUCAGUAGGGGUUCUGAGAGGAAGGUCCCCCANAUUGGAACUGAGACACGGUCCAAACUCCUACGGGAGCA
rnacentral:rRNA from 1 species